rnacentral:rRNA from 1 species
GAGUGAUGCACGUUUUCCGGAUCGUAAGCUUCUCUUUAGGAGAACAAGUACCCGUUCGAUAGGGCGCUACCUGACGUACCUAACCAGAAGCCACGGCUAACUACGUCCAGCAGCCGCGGUAAUACGUAGGUGGCAAGCGUUGUCCGGAAUUAUUGGGCGUAAAGGGCUCGCAGGCGGUUUCUUAAGUCUGAUUGAAAGCCCCCGGCUCAACCGGGGAGGGUCAUUGGAAACUGGGGAACUUGAGUGCAGAAGAGGAGAGUGGAAUUCCACGUGUAGCGGUGAAAUGCGUAGAGAUGUGGAGGAACACCAGUGGCGAAGGCGACUCUCUGGUCUGUAACUGACGCUGAGGAGCGAAAGCGUGGGGAGCGAACAGGAUUAGAUACCCUGGUAGUCCACGCCGUAAACGAUGAGUGCUAAGUGUUAGGGGGUUUCCGCCCCUUAGUGCUGCAGCUAACGCAUUAAGCACUCCGCCUGGGGAGUACGGUCGCAAGACUGAAACUCAAAGGAAUUGACGGGGGCCCGCACAAGCGGUGGAGCAUGUGGUUUAAUUCGAAGCAACGCGAAGAACCUUACCAGGUCUUGACAUCCUCUGACAAUCCUAGAGAUAGGACGUCCCCUUCGGGGGCAGAGUGACAGGUGGUGCAUGGUUGUCGUCAGCUCGUGUCGUGAGAUGUUGGGUUAAGUCCCGCAACGAGCGCAACCCUUGAUCUUAGUUGCCAGCAUUCAGUUGGGCACUCUAAGGUGACUGCCGGUGACAAACCGGAGGAAGGUGGGGAUGACGUCAAAUCAUCAUGCCCCUUAUGACCUGGGCUACACACGUGCUACAAUGGACAGAACAAAGGGCAGCGAAACCGCGAGGUUAAGCCAAUCCCACAAAUCUGUUCUCAGUUCGGAUCGCAGUCUGCAACUCGACUGCGUGAAGCUGGAAUCGCUAGUAAUCGCGAUCAGCUGCCGC